UGAACGCUAGCGGCAGGCCUAACACAUGCAAGUCGAGGGAGAGGUUACCUUCGGGUAACCACAACCGGCGCACGGGUGCGUAACGCGUAUACAAUCUGCCUUUCACAUAGGGAUAGCCCGAAGAAAUUUGGAUUAAUACCUAAUGGUAUAUAAGAGCGGCAUCGUUUUUAUAUUAAAGCUACGGUGGUGAAAGAUGAGUAUGCGUUCUAUUAGCUAGUUGGAGAGGUAACGGCUCCCCAAGGCGACGAUAGAUAGGGGUUCUGAGAGGGAUGUCCCCCACACUGGUACUGAGAUACGGACCAGACUCCUACGGGAGGCAGCAGUGAGGAAUAUUGGACAAUGGUCGGAAGACUGAUCCAGCCAUGCCGCGUGCAGGAUGAAGGUCCUAUGGAUUGUAAACUGCUUUUGUAAGGGAAGAAUAAGGAGUACGUGUACUUUGAUGACGGUACCUUACGAAUAAGCAUCGGCUAACUCCGUG
rnacentral:rRNA from 1 species